ACAGCAGUUUCAUGCUUUUAGGUCCAGAAAAGCGUGUGCUGGUGUGAGCGGCUCCUUUUAAGUCACGUUGUGCUACCAGGUAACUGCCGGCCGAGUACCUGCAGGACGUGGGCCUAGAUCCCUUUAUUUUAGGAAGUCAGGCAGUGGUUCCUGUCACCGAAACAGUUAAUUGAAAAGCACUAACUCUCCACUGGAACGUGUGUGUGUGUGUGUGUGUUUUUGUUUUUUAGAGCCAAGAAGAUUUGCUUUAGUUUUUUUAAAGCAGAAACCACCACAAAGUUGGCUGUGGUUUCAGCUGCGCUUGUUCGAGAUUUGUAUUGCUGGCUACCAAUCCUAAAAGAGUUAACCUAGCGAGCGUGACUCAGAAACAGAGAAGGAGAUGCGAGGCUGAGAGGCUCGGAUGGCAGCACAGAAGCAGAGGUGAGGAACAUAAUAAUUACCAAAAAAAGGUGCAGAGUCCAGGAGCGACGCUCCCCUCGGUGUGCCUGGCCCUGGCACUGCUGGCACGGGCUCCCUGGAAGGCUGCAGUUCCGCUGUUAUAACACAGGGAGCAGGCUGGAGAAUUUAGAGCUGCGUCACAGAGCUCAGCGAGAGAGCGAGAGAGCAAGCUCCGUCGAUAGGUCUACCAGCAACAGCCCUGCUGCAGCAAGAGGGGAGAGAGGCAGCCAGAGAGGGAGAAAGGGCUCAAGAAAGAGAAGUAAGACCAACACCAGGGACUGGGCUCCUGUCACCAUCCGGAGUCAUUUAGAAAGCAUAUUUGGGCUCGGUUGGCGUAGGAGGCUUCGCCCGUUGACGAUGCUGGAGACCCGGCGCGCUUAAUCCCACGGGGAGGGAGAGUGGGCAGACACCGAAAGGGUUAACGGAAAGGAAAUUUCUGGAACCUUCUAUUCUGCGGCGCUACACAGCAAGCGGAGGGCUGAAGACUGCGCAGAUGGUGCACGGGCAGAGCUCUUCGGUCCGGUUCGUCUUUCCCACUGACCAACAAUGAAGAUGGGCAACUGUGCCUGGAAGUUCUGAGGACACAACCAGCUUUGAGCUUGGUCCUUCUGGCCGAGGAAGUCACCCGGUUAUGCAGUGGAGUGGUAACUUUGCUUUCUCAUAUAGCAGGGAACAUUAUUCCACAGCCUUUCAUCAUACCAAGGCUUAAACAAGUUUAAGCAUUUAAUCUAUAUUACUCACUCACUGACAUCGCAAGCGUCAGGUCUGGUUGUUUAGCAACAACCACUGGGUUUAGAACCAGCUCAAACGAACUGCGUGUGUCUCGGUUACUUCGGCAGGAGCCUGUCCUCUGAACGGCAGGCGGAGAGGGGAGAGAGGCCGUGUUGACACAGGUACACCCACCCCGACUGAAUUUUGGCUGUUAUAAAGGCCGUACGCAUUGCAGUUUUAUCCCCGUUUCUUUGCGCAGUAACCCAGAGGGGAGGAUACCAUUUCCAACGGCAGUGCGGUGGCAGGAACAGGGAGGGAAGACAAAAACAGACAGUAGGUGCCACUCCCCGGAUUUUUCCUCUUUCCCAUCUCUACCUUCCUUGCCUCCCCUCCUUUCCUGCCAGAUUCCGUGGGGAGUUUCAGGCUCUUGCUGCAGUCGUCACAACCCCUACUGACUCAGAGCCCUCGCUGGCUGUAGCUGGCUCCCUUGGAGCAUCCUCGCCUCCUGCAGCGCCAGUUCCGCAGAGCAGGGGAACAACGGGAAUAGCAGCAACAGCGGUGGUCCCUGCAGCAAGACAGACAGGCAGAAAGACACACUUCUAUAGGAACAGCACAAGGCAGCUGCCGAGGUCAGCGUGCACAGCCACAAGCUGGCCUAAGAAACGAUGCUUGCUUUCCCGGGAGACCAGUGGGUUAAGUGGCUCUGAGUGGACAGCCCUUCGCAUUUUUCCCCAUCACGGCUGUGUGGUGGAGGCCCCGUUAGUUUGCAAAGGUAGCGCUGCUUCAUGGCAAUUCUCAGCCCUUCAGACAGAGGUGCAAGUGGCAGCCAGUAUACUAAGGCACAUGCAUAAUUUGAGUAUCAGUGUUCGGUGUAGGGAUGUGUUUAUUUUUGCUCCUUUCGCUACUGUCCUUUGGCCACGGUGAUAGUUUAAUUGUGACUAUGUGCAGGCAGGAAAAGGAGACUGAGAGACGAGAGGUAUUUCAAUGUUAAACUUCAGCUGUAAAUGUCCUUACUUGGGAAUUGAGGUUACUGUCAGCAGGUAAAUCUGGGGGACUUGCAAGAAACAAGGCUAAGAAGGGGACAUGGCAUAUUUCUGUAGGACAGAAGCAAUUUUGUGCAUGUGAUACUGUAUGUGAGGUCUACGUGGCAAACUGUUCCAUAAUGUUUUUCUGUGUAUUGCCUCAAAAGGACUUGGAAAAGCUGUGAUUUCUUAGUCCCUCUGACACUCGUGUGUGUGAUAUUGUGUAAGCUGAUUCAUUGCUCAGUAUUUUGGUUCCCUUCCUUUGUAAAGUAGGGUUCAUUGCAUCUCUCAGCCUUGGUGCGGCAUUGUGACGCAGUGAUCGUUAGUGCAUUGGGUCUGCUGGCAAAAUACGUGCAAUUUUCUUGGGAGUUCAGACUGUUCAAGGACGCAAAAUUCGGUAAAGUUAAGAAUUGCAAAUGUUCAGGCCAUCAAUUUAAAAGCAGUAAAGCCUUACCAGCUUAUUCUUCUGUGAUACUGAAAGAAAGCUGUCGGAACGAUGAGACAGCCAUGAUCUCUUUCUGCACUUGUUUUGCCGAUGGUCAUGUUACAUCUGUGACGCAGUCCGUUUUUGCUGCUCGUUCCUGUCUCUGCUCUGUGGAGUUGAGCUGAUCGGGGCACAGGCAAGAAGACGGUUAGCAACAUUAAUUUGAUACCAAUGUUAAAGUUUGCAGCUGCACCUGGCGUGGCAGGGAUAUCGGCAUCCACCUAUUUUACCACCCACAAACGGUGAAGGAAUUCAGAUGAACGCGACAGCACCCCUAGCCAUUUUGUUGCACGCAGAGUAGACUCUAAGCCUGCAGUGCUGCUGCUGCUGCUGCUGUUAAUUUCCAUGUCAUACAAAUACAGCGUUGGGCUCUGUGUCAGGAGCUUUACUGAUGCUGUGAAAAGCUUGCAGUCUAUGAGGAAACGUUUUUCUUUUCUUAUUUGGGAAAAUUCGUUAGAACGUCCAGAUGCCAAGUAUUGCAUCCUCACUCCUCUUACAAAUCACUUCCAGACCUACUCAGAAAAUUCACUGCUGCCUUGCGUAUUUUCUAAAACUUGUUCACGGCAGCUUAAUAAGGGUGUGGCUGGGGGGAGGUUGAGCUUUAAGCUGCGUCAGUUAAAUAUCUGUAUUACUGAUGCUAACGGAGAGCUGUAUGCAAGAGAUACCUGAACUGCCAAUACGCUCCAUAUACCUGCGUAUAGAUCCAGGUAGUCCCAAGCCUCGGUGACAAAGAUGCCCUUGUUAUGGCACAAGAAGGGAAUACUCUGCCCUGUUCUCACACACUCAAAAGUUUUGGUGCAAAGAUGGCAGUAGAAAUGGCCAACAUGGGAAUCUCACAAAAUGGUUUCAACAGAGCUGAGAUGCACGCGCCGUUUAUACUGGCACGGCUCCGAGAGGGACAGGCUCGCUGCAAGGUCACUCCCCUGCCUCCUCGUCACUGACCACUUGGUCUUGCAACAGUGGCAGUACCGGAGCCCUGAACCUGGAAGGGAGGCUUGAAAAUUAAUGCUGCUGUGGUAGGGGGUACGCUGAGUCUGAAAGUAUAGGCCCAAAAAAAUCCUGGAUCUCAGAAGCAUUUAAAGUCCAGAGCUGUAAUUCGUUUCUUGAGCAAACUACAAAAACUUGCUUAAAAAGACUUCCUCUGGCCUGCUGGGAAUUGGAAGUAGCAUAUUUGUAAGGACUACGCAUCAACUCUCACCAUGUUCCAGACGAGAAAAAAAAAUGUCUCUGCAUAUAUCUGAAUUUCUGUUCCUGCAGCCUUUAUCAGGUGGACCCCGCAGGCUGCUCUAAGUUCACCAGUGCCUGUCUCUCCUGUGCUUUCAGUUCCAGGCACCACAGCUCCACGGCUGCCUUUCCCCCUGCCAGAUUUCCCAUUUUCUCAGGGGUUUCCAUUUGUCCAUGUCACUAGCAUUUUCAGUGGACGUAGGACAAAUGGAAAUCUGGAGCAAAACAACUUUGUGCCACCUUUGCAGUCACAAAGUUCAGUUCAGGGGCAUGGUCCCAGGGUGCUGUUAGACGGAGAGGAACACGGGGCUCCAGCAGAGCCAGCACACGCCGAGCAGGGGUGCAGGUGGACCCUUCCCGCUGGCAGUUUCGCUGCCCCCCCCCCCCAGCAAUCCUGCCCCGACCAUGCUUAGAGCCCGCUCCAGCCUUCGGCAGCGUUAUUCUCUAGUUUCCAAAGGAAAAGAACCUGGCUGCUAAUCCUGAUGCCAGUGACGACUCUUCGCCUACAGGGAGGCAUAUGUGAUAGCUUGUCUGCUAAAAACUGAGCCAACACAGUGUGAUUCAGACCCUCAGCUUUCCAAGGAAGAGAGCUAUUUCUGAGUUAAGCACAUCUCUUCAGCUCCCCACACAAACAAUCUUUAUCCAGUGCAAAUGGUACGUAGUACGUGUCCACCAGCAGCCAGGGGUUUUGCAUUUGGCCGUACACCUCAACUGCUUCCUAGGCAUCGAGGAGGGCUCCCAAACACAGCGAAGUUUCUGGUAUAGGAAGGACAAUGGGAAUCAUGGGAACGGGCACAAACCAAACAGCUCAGGUGCUGGGGGAGUCUGCCAGGAGCUGGGUCCAUGCUUUUCUCCAGCUUUUUUUUUUGCCAGGGCGUUCUGCUGCGGGUACUGAGCAUGCUUUCAAAUAUCAGGUUUAAGGGCAGGUUAUACUUCGGCAAACAUCGGGCAGCAUCCGCGUCCUUAUGCUCCUCACUGGCACAGGACAUUAUUUUCUCUUUUCAAUGACAAAGAAAAACGUGACUUCCCUUGACAUUACCUAGAGCAGCUGGAACUGCAGUGGUGGGGAAACACCAUGUUCCUGAACUGACUCUACAGAUCGCAACAAUAACCUCCCUGUGACUUCGUCCGAGACCUGCAAUCAAUACUUGAUAUUCUGAGGUGAUGCUUAUAUACAGAAGUUAGGAGCAGAAAAUUACUUUUCUGGUUUCAGCUGCCUUGGUGGGGAAUAUUUUAAUGUAGUUAGUGCUGUAAUGCGCUGUUCAAGCAAGCUGUGUAUAGCCAAAGCUGAUGAGUUUUCAGUGCUGCGCUUCGCUACCUCUCUCCUGUGACCCAGGUCAUGAACGUGCCAGGCUUUUCUUCCCUUGCGUGGGUUUGCCCAAUUUCACCUCAUCGUUCCUUGUGAGAUCUGAAAUCCUCAACAGCAUUUAGUGGUUCAGUACUUCCUGCGCCCUCCAAACAGGCUGUGGCUUUGCCUAGGAACUCUCAUGAAAGCAAAGGUGGAAAAAAACUGCAUGUCUCCAGGCAAGCCAAAGCCAUUUCAGCUUUGCAGACAGGAAUCGGCUUAGAAAAUGCAGCCCGAAUGGCUUGUGCUCCUAGAAUGGUCACCGAGCUAGGACUGUUCCCUUCAGCUAGCUUAUGGGAAAGUAAUUCAAAAGGAAGUACUACCUUUCACUUAACAGUCUGAAACAAAGUUCUGGGAU